rnacentral:lncRNA from 1 species
GGACUUGGGAGAGGGCAGGGACUGGGGGUGUCUUAGGGUCAGGACUGUGGGAAAGGGACUGUGAGAGAGGGCAGCGACUGUGGGAGAGGGCAGGGACUGGGAGGUAUCUUAGGGUCAGGACUGUGGGAGAGGGCAGGGACUGGGAGGUGUCUUAGGGUCAGAAUUGUGGGAGAGGGCAGGGACUGUGGGAGAGGGCAGGGACUGGGAGGUAUCUUAAGGUCAGAACUGUGGGAGAGGGCAGGGACUGUGGGAGAGGGCAGGGACUGGGAGGUAUCUU